AAGUCGUAACAAGGUUUCCGUAGGUGAACCUGCGGAAGGAUCAUUAAUGAAGAAAUAAGGGUGCUUUCGAGACCCGACUCUCAUUAUAUUACCCUGUGAAUAACACUUUUUUUAAUCCUUAAACACUAUUAGUUUUGGAUGUAAUAGCUUGUUUUGAACAAGUAAAUAACAAAUAAAA
rnacentral:misc_RNA from 1 species